rnacentral:lncRNA from 1 species
GGACCCUAUUUUUUUAUUUUUAAAUUGCUUUAUAAUUAAGGGUAAUUUUGCCUUAAAUGAUAUCAUGUUGGGGUUCUUUUUUUUUUUUUUAAUGAACAUAUGUGGGGGGUCUUUCUAUAAUUUGUAUAAAUGCAGGGUAGAUUUAUAAUUAUCAUGAAAAUUGACAUGGGGAGUUUGAACAGUCUUGAAAGUAUUUGAUAAUUUGUGGAUGUUUUAAAGUUU